rnacentral:rRNA from 1 species
UACGGGGGGGGGCAAGCGUUGUUCGGAAUUACUGGGCGUAAAGGGCUCGUAGGCGGCCAACUAAGUCGGACGUGAAAUCCCCAGGCUCAACCUGGGAACUGCGUCUGAUACUGGAUGGCUUGAAUCCGGGAGAGGGAUGCAGAAUUCCAGGUGUAGCGGUGAAAUGCGUAGAUAUCUGGAGGAACACCGGUGGCGAAGGCGGGUCUCUGGGCCGAUACUGACGCUGAGGAGCGAAAGCGUGGGGAGCGAACAGG